GGAGAGGUGCCAGAGUGGUCGAAUGGGGCGGUCUCGAAAACCGUUGUGGCCUCGCGGUCACCGGGGGUUCGAAUCCCCCCCUCUCCGCCA
rnacentral:tRNA from 1 species